ACUAUUUUGACAGAUUAGUGUAAUAAAUUUAGAAUUUAUUUAAGUAUAAGAUUUUUUUAUACAUAUAGUA
rnacentral:tRNA from 1 species